rnacentral:rRNA from 1 species
GAAUCUUUGAACGCACAUUGCGCCCUCUGGUAUUCCGGGGGGCAUGCCUGUUCGAGCGUCAUUACAACCCUCAAGCUCUGCUUGGUGUUGGGCUCGCCCUGUAGGGCCUGCCUCAAAGUCAGUGGCAGCACCGUCUGACCCUAAGCGUAGUAAUACUCGCCGCUUUUGUGGUUAUGCGUGGACUGCCAAUCAACCCCCACCAUCAAGGUUGACCUCGGAUCAGGUAGGGAUACCCGCUGAACUUAAGCAUAUCAAUAAGCGGAGGAAAAGAAACCAACAGGGAUUGCCUCAGUAACGGCGAGUGAAGCGGCAACAGCUCAAAUUUGAAAGCUGGCUCCUUUGGGGGCCCGCGUUGUAAUUUGUAGAGGAUGCUUCGGGUGCGGCGCCGGUCUAAGUUCUUUGGAACAAGACGUCAUAGAGGGUGAGAAUCCCGUAUGUGACUGGUUGCCUGUGCCCGUGUGAAGCUCCUUCGACGAGUCGAGUUGUUUGGGAAUGCAGCUCAAAAUGGGUGGUAAAUUUCAUCUAAAGCUAAAUAUUGGCCAGAGACCGAUAGCGCACAAGUAGAGUGAUCGAAAGAUGAAAAGCACUUUGGAAAGAGAGUUAAACAGUACGUGAAAUUGUUGAAAGGGAAGCGCUUGCAAUCAGACUUGCACGGCGUCGAUCAGCCUGGGUUCUCCCUGGUGCACUCGGCGCCGUUCAGGCCAGCAUCAGUUUCGACGGUGGGAUAAAGGCCUAGGGAACGUGGGUCGC